rnacentral:lncRNA from 1 species
CUCAAGUUGAAAAUCUUUGAGGACUUGCUCUGCGCGAAUGGUGGAAAAAUCAAGCGAAGCCUCUCCCUGUUGAUAAUGUUCACGCUUUGUGUUGGAAGGAGCCUCCAAGCUCUGUUACAAGCAUCCCUUUUCCUGUCUAAUGAUAAAAACUCAGGAACAUAUAUUCAUCCCUCAGGAGGGCUAUGGAGGACAAGGACAUGAGGCCUUCCUGAGUGGACCCCAGAAUUGGUGAGGGCGUUUGGGUCCAUGGACUCCUGGCCCUGCUGCCUCCUGAGGACAUUUUGGGUGCCUGGAUUCCAACGGCCUGAACACAGAGGAUGAUCAGUCCUGGAAUGGGGGCAUGCAGCUCUUGGAGUAAACAUCGCUAUUCCCAAAUGUACUGAUGUUAUCAGCUGAAACAGAUCAGUACUAUAAUUAUGCAGCAGAUGCCUUGCGUUAAAUAAGAUUCACGUGAGACCUGCGGACGUGUUCAUCUCCAGCUCGUAAAUCCAUUGCGGUGCAGCAUCUUUCUCUGCCACUAGGUGGCAGAUGUUCGUGGUUCACUAAGACUGCUGAGGAGGUGGCGGUUCACCAGGGAGGGAGGAUUCUGGCUCAGACUGUUGGAGUGGAAGUUUUCGAGAGACAGAGCCUCACCCUGCUCACGCCUUCGGGGGCUACGGCAGGACACAGGGAAGAUGGUGGCCUGCCCUCACAGAGCCCACAGGAAGCCCCUGAUUUAUAGUGACAGGACCAUCAGGAUUCGAGGGCGUGAGUAUCUUCUGUCCAGGAUGGACGCGAGGGGUCCUGGGAAGCCCUACACACAGCUUGCUGCUCUGGAGCUCAAGGACACACUCUUGCGAAUUCCUUCGUGUGAUUCUUACAAUGGCACUCAUAAAAGGAGUGCAAAAUUGUCCCCAUUUUGCAGCUUGGCUGGGGAAAUGCUGAUGCUGGGCCUUGGCAGCCAGAGGGACCAGGGCUGGGAUCCUGGCUCAGCCACUUAGCAAUGUAUGACUUAGGGCAAAGUUGACCUCUAUGAGCCGCAAUUGUCUGAGAUAUAAAAUGGGGAUAUUAAUACCUGCUGGAAAACUUUUGUGGUGGUUGAUGAGAUAGAGGAUGUGAGCAUGAAGCACAGGUAUAUAGAUAUGGCAGCCCCUCCCAUCCUCCUUCCUUCUUCAAAGAUGGCACAUGGCUGGUUCAGGAUCUCGGAGAGCAAGACUGGGCCUUAGACUCAGGAGCACAUUGUCUCCGUCCAUCCUCUGCCUGUCUCUAGAAAUCUCAUUGCUCGCCUGUCCCACCUCGAGGCUGCCUCUUAUCAGACCCUCCGAAGUCUGGACUAAGAUGAAAUUAGAGUGACCAGCAUGUUUUCUCUCCUACUUUCUACUUCCAGUGGCCCCCAAACUGGCAGAAUCCCAGAUGGGAAGUAAGAAGGUGGAGACAGGGUAACCUGGGCCCUUCUCAGAACCCAAGGUGGGCUGAGGGUCCUCCAACCUCACAGAGCUUCACUUCUCCAGGGAUCUGCCAAACAGCAGCUCAGAGGCCAGGAAUGGCCCUGCUUCUCCCCCUCUCUCUGCCCAUGUAUGUCACCCCUCAUGAAUUCACUCAGGCAUUUACUCAUCGCUUACUGAUCCCCUACCUGGAUAAGCAACAAGGCCCUAGCACAUGGCAGAGAACAAGCCCCACACCCUCCCUUUUCUCCCAGAGUUGACAGUCCAUGCCCCGACCCCCUAUCCCCCAUGUAGGAGGAACUGAGUAAGUGAGAUGAAAAAGGCGAAGAACAGCAAGAAGGGCUGAGUUCCCACAAGCUGCCCUGGGUGAACCCAGUAGCCCUGCAUAGCAUUCCUAAAGCGCUUCUCCAAUCCUGGACUCAGAAUCAGAAAGCAACUGAGACAAGAUCUAGACCCAACUCCCACCCAAGGCAGGGCCCCUCUCCUGCCAGGAGAAGAUAGGAGAGAACUUGUCCAUGGCAUGCCCCAGGAGUCAUUGAAACCCAGAAGAGAAAGCCAUGACUUUCCCUUGGCAAAUCCAUUUCCCAUGUUUGGAGCAGGGGUAUGACAAAGAUUCUCCCCUCAACCAACUUUAGACUGGCUUCUCUGAGCCCUCUUUUGACCAGGCCUCAUCUUUGGACUUCUGUGUCUAUCCUUUCAGAGUCCAGUUUUAGCAAGAGUCCUGCUAAGUCGCUUCAGAGAGAAUCCUCCACCCUCGGUAUCCAGUUACUACCAAUAUCUGAUUGGGUUCCUCAUCCUCCACCCUCGCCCAGGUGAUGCCUGAUCGCCCUGGCCUGCUGUCUGCAAGAAUACUCUUGGGUCAUUUUAGCCAGAAUCUGCAUACCUUUAGUGUCUCCUCUUAGUAAUUUCCAUCCACUGACCACCCCCCUCCCUGCUCCUGGCUAUAAAUUCUCACUCAUCCUUGUCGUAUUCAGAGUUGAGCCCCAUCUCUCUCCCCUAUCGCGACAGUCUUGACACCUAUCAGCAUAGUCCCGAAUAAAGUCCUCCCUACUGUUUUAACA